rnacentral:rRNA from 1 species
ACAAGGAUUCCCUCAGUAACGGCGAGCGAAGUGGGAUAGAGCUCGAGCCUAAAAUCCCUGGCAGGUGUUGCCAGUGAAUUGUGGCCGGUAGAGGCAGCUUGUGCCCUGCCCGGCGUCGUCGAAGUUGACCUGGAAAGGCACGUCGGAGAGGGUGAUAGCCCCGUGUGCGGCUUUGCGGGGUGGGGCAGUCGCUGCCUUCUGAGAGUCGGGUUGUUUGGGAAUGCAGCCCAAAGUUGGUGGUAAACUCCAUCUAAAGCUAAAUAGCGGCACGAGACCGAUAGCAAACAAGUACCAUGAGGGAAAGGUGAAAAGUACUUUGAAAAGAGAGUCAAAGAGACCGCGAAACCGUUAGGAGGGAAACGAAUGCAGCCAGAGAGGCCCCGAUCAGGUUCAGGGGAGGCGGGAAGGGCCGCUGCUGGAGUGCGGCUCCGCUCGGAGGGCCUUCAGCUUCCGUCUUUGUCGCUUCCCUGCAUUCCCGUUUAGGGCCAGCCAACGGCAGUUUUCCCUGGCUCAGAAAGGUUGUCGGGCAGGUGCCUUUCCGGUCGCACUUCGGUGCUCUCGGUGAGAACUUAGAGCCGGCGUCUUUGCAGGCUAGGGGGGACUGAGGAGAGUUGCGACCGUUCGCACGGCAGUGCAGGCUCCCUUUGGGGGGCCGGGUCGCUCCUGGCGGUGUGGUCGGAGCGGUGGGGACUGUUCGCAGUGCUCGCCGACUCGCGUCUGCUCCGGCGGGAGGUCGGCUACGACUUGCGCUGCGGCCGUUGGCUUGCGGAUGGCUUCAUCCGA